rnacentral:rRNA from 1 species
GAGGAAUGUAUAGCAAUAGCUACUUGCAUCAUUGUAGAUAUGAUGCAAGAUCGACUAUGUUGAAUAAAAUUCUAGGUAGAAUUAUGAUAAUGACAUUGUCUGCCUAUGUGUCUUGACCAAAUUACGUGCCAGCAGUCGCGGUAAUACGUAGAAGACUAGUGUUAUUCAUGUUUAAUCGGUUUAAAGGGUACCUAGACGGUAGAUCAAGCUUUCUAAUAAAGGAAAAGGACUAAUUUACUAGAGUUACUUAUGAGGGGGUAUUAAAGUACUGCUGGUGUAGAGAUGAAAUUCUGUCAUACCUCUUUUCAAAAGAAAAACCAUGGCACAGGUAUAGGCGAAGGCAUCCCCUUAUGUGAUAACUGACGUUGAAGGACGAAGGCUUNGUGUAGCGAACAGGAUNAGAUACCCCAAUAGUCGAAGCAGAAAAUGAUGAAUGUCAUAGAUUAGAUAUAUAAGUUUAUUCUAUAAAUGAAAGUGUAAGCAUUCCACCUCAUGAGUAAUUUGGCAACAUUGGAACUGAAAUCAUUAGACCGUUUCUGAAACCAGUAGUGAAGUAUGUUGUUUAAUUUGAUGAUCCGCAAAAAACCUUACCACAAUUUGAAUAUUUAUAUUAUUUAUUGUUUUAUUAUUAAUGAGAAAAUUAAUAAAGAGGCAAUAAGAUAUAUUUACAAGCGUUGCACGGCUGUCUUCAGUUAAUGUCGCGAGACUUUGGUUAGUUCCAUUAAAUUAACGUAAACCCUUACUUUAUUUUUAUAUAGAGUAGUUCCCCGCUAUAUUGGAUAUGAU